rnacentral:lncRNA from 1 species
CCGAGUAGUCUCAUGUCCACUAUCAGAAAGUAAGGAAAAUAAAGCUCUAGGGGACAACGCGAUAGCUGGAUGCUUCAAUUUCCUGAUCGAUAUCAGUCCUUUUUAAAUAUGCUUUUCUUUAUAAAAAAAAUCCCAGCAAGAAAUCAUGUGUUGAAAUAGACUAAAACCCGCAGUAUAAAUUAUUUUUCAAUUAACAAAACAGAGUUCAAUGGUAUGAAUUGCUUAUAAAAGUUGAAAUAUAUCCGAACACACCUAACUUUUAUCAACCUUUCAUGUAAAUAACAAGCAGUACCAUGUCAAGCAAAGAAGAGUUCAAGAUGUCUAAAAAAAAUCAGUGAAAAAGGAAGAAAGGGGUCUUUUUUCUUUAUGAAGUCGUUCAAAACAAACAAUUGACAAGGAAUUGAUGAGAGGGUACCAUAGAAAUGAUGGCCUGCUCGUUGUGCUGUGAAGGCAGAUCUUAUGAAGGCAUAUGACUCGGUUAGAUGGGAUUUCAUUAAUGCUAUGCUGAUCAGAAUGAGUUUCCCUGAACAAGUAGUUGGAUGGAUCAUGGUUUGUUUUACCACAUUUCAAUUCUGUAUAAAUGUUAACGGUGAACAUGCAGGCUAUUUUCAAGGGGGAAGGGGGCUGAGACAAGGCGGAGUUCAAGUCUCACUGGAGGUGCCAAAAGAAUAGGAUUUUUCCCACCUUUGUUUAGCCGAUGACUAGAUGAUCUUCAGCAAAGGGGAAGUCAAUUCUGUUUGUGUGAUUCAUAAUGUGCUUUUGGAAUUUC